AGGAGCGCGGCGCACUGACACCCGAGGCAGCCACUGCCUUACAAGGCUGCCACAGGCACAGCCAGCCUAUGGACACCGCUCGACUCAGGGGACGCUUGCCACGGGAUCUCCACCCCACUGACUGUGGUGAGGUCAUGGUCGCACUGGUGGCUCUGAAGAAGAUUAUGGGGUUAGUAAGGAGGCAAUGGGGCUGGAAGAUUUGGUUCAAUAGACUCUUCAGCCCUCCAGGUUCUGUCUCAGACUCUAGCCAAGUCACCCACUGAGGUUUUGGCUUGGCCACUUGACUUAUGUCCCACAAAGCCCCAAGUCCUGCUGUGAUGGUUUGUAUAUGCUUGGACCAAGAAGUGGCACUAUUUGGAGGUGUGGCCUUGUUGGGGUAGGUGUGACCUGGUUGGAGUAGGUGUGUCACUGUGGGUAUGGACUUAAGACCCUCACCCUAGCUGCCUGGAAGUGAGUAGCAGCCUUCAGAUGAAGAUGUAGAACUCUCAGCUCCUCCUGCACCAUGCCUGCCUAGAUGCUGCCAUGCUCCCACAUGAUAAUGGACCGAACCUCAGAACCUGUAAACCAACCCC
rnacentral:lncRNA from 1 species